GCCUGGAUAGCUCAGUCGGUAGAGCAUCAGACUUUUAAUCUGAGGGUCCAGGGUUCGAGCCCCUGUUCAGGCG
rnacentral:tRNA from 1 species